GCUGCCUCAGGAGUGUGUGUAAUUCCCAGGAAUUCAGCACCAAGUCCUUCUAAUUUCUCCUCAAGCAGGGAUUGUCAGAAGCUCUGCGCCUGUUUCAGGGUUGAGUGUAUUUGGAGGAGUGAGGAAAAAAAAAAAAAAAAAAACGACCAGGUGGUGAGAUGAGUGGAGGGUGGCAAGCUCCCUAUUCUAGAAUUAGCAUUUGGUGUUGGAAUUUCACAGCUGCAAUGUCUCUGGCCUAGCUGGUGGCGUUGCUUGGGCUUUGCAAAUAUGCGGGGGAGACCUAUGGGGCAUCUGGGCCUCUGUACUGAGUAUGUGAGGGGGUGCCUAACAUUUCAUAAGUAAAUACGCCCAGAUAACUGCUUCUAUAGCCUCAGCUGGCCUUCCAAGGGCCGGGCGCGGCUUGGAUUCCAUACGGGUGUGAAGUCGUGGCUUUCUUCCGUUUGGCCUCUGACUUCGAGUUUUGAGGUGCCUCGGAACCAAGCGAGACCCGCCCUGUUCUCUUUUACUCCAAACCGAUAGGCCUAAAUGCGCACUGCUCGAGCCUGGUGGAGCCAGAAUUAAGGUGUUCUUGAAGUGUCCGAGGGGGAGGAGCUGCCCGCAGGACUUGAGGCCCUGGUACCCGGAGUGCCGGCUUCAGCGCUUCGGAAUCUUCACGCGUUAUCUGGGAGAAUCCCCAAGAAUCGACGUAAUUUCUCUGGCUGCGGGUGCGCUGCGUGUAUCAGAAUAAAUCCAGCUCUCAGGCAUCCAGCAGGAAACGGAUCCCGGUUCCCGGGUGUGGAGGCGCCCCAUCCGCUCAGCUCAGGACGCGAGGUGGCUCCUCGUGCCCAGAAGGCUGCAGGUCUGGCUUCCGAGGGAGGCUGGACUAUCAGCGCCCUCGGCCUUAGCAGUCUCUCCCGGUCGGCAGUGCCCGGCAGCCCCCACCCUCUGCCGGUGCUUCGGAAACCCGCCCGGGCCGAGUCCGCCCGGGGCGAAAAUUGAAAGCAAAUUCCACGGCAGACGGAGCUCGAACUUUCUUCAAAGCAAGUUUGCAGUAGAGAUUCGGUGGUCGCUUUGAGACGAC
ensembl:lncRNA